rnacentral:rRNA from 1 species
GACACGCUGGCGGCGUGCCUAACACAUGCAAGUCGAGCGGGGUUGAGGCGAGAGGUAACUCGAGCUUCUACCUAGCGGCGGACGGGUGAGUAACGCGUGGGCAACCUGCCUCAAGGUUUGGGAUAACAGCCCGAAAGGGCUGCUAAUACCGGAUAUGCCUAUGGCCUCGCAUGGGGCUAUGAGCAAAGGGGAAACCCGCCUUGAGAUGGGCCCGCGUCCCAUCAGCUAGUUGGUGAGGUAACAGCUCACCAAGGCGACGACGGGUAGCCGGCCUGAGAGGGUGACCGGCCACACUGGGACUGAGACACGGCCCAGACUCCUACGGGGGGCAGCAGUGGGGGAUCUUGCACAAUGGGCGAAAGCCUGAUGCAGCGACGCCGCGUGAGCGAAGAAGGCCUUCGGGUUGUAAAGCUCUGUCUGGAGGGACGAACAAAAUGACGGUACCUCCGGAGGAAGCCACGGCUAACUACGUG